UACGUAGGGUGCAAGCGUUGUCCGGAAUUAUUGGGCGUAAAGAGCUCGUAGGCGGUUUGUCGCGUCUGCUGUGAAAACUCGGGGCUUAACCCCGGGCCUGCAGUGGGUACGGGCAGACUAGAGUGCGGUAGGGGAGACUGGAAUUCCUGGUGUAGCGGUGGAAUGCGCAGAUAUCAGGAAGAACACCAACGGCGAAGGCAGCUCGCUAGGACGGUACUGACGCUGAGACGCGAAAGCGUGGGGAGCGAACAGG
rnacentral:rRNA from 1 species